CAUCAAGACAGAUCAUGUUUUUAUAAAGUCUUUUAUUUUUUAAGUGCAGAGGGAAAAUGCAUGAUGAAAGGGGUAUAAACCUUUGCUAUUAAACCAGAAUUAGACCUUGCACUUGCAUGGGCCGCCUCUCUUAUCCCGUCCUCACCCUGGAUUUUCUGAUUUGACUCAGUGGUCCUAGAAAUACCACCAAUCAUGGUAUCUGAUAUCCUUGUCCGAAAUAAAAAUGCAAUCUCUCAGAAGGAUCUGGAUAUUAAGUCUCAGCUAAUGUUAAUUCUAAUGUUAAGUGGCUUACCAAGUGCCUUCCAGACAGAUUUUUUUUAAGGUGUAGAAAGAGAGAGAUUACUAUUGCUCGUCUUUGGGGGCGCAAAUGCAGGGCCCCGAGUUAAUCUGGUUUCUCACUCCAACUAGACUUCAUUUGUUGCCUAUUCUAGAUGGUGAGCACAAGGGGGCGCUGACGGGCUUAGAAUUAAUUUCUAGUUUUAACUUGCAAAACUCACCAGUCUCUGGCACUUCUCUAAGGAAGAGCACAGAAUUAUUCUCAACAGAUCACCCACCUUUUAUGGAUUUUGCAGCGAGCUGUUGUGAAUUUUACUACAAGAAGGAAAAUGGUCAAAUCAACUUGAACAAUUCAUAAAGCAUCCUGCAAGGAAAGAGCCAAGCAAGUUGUACCUAUAAAAUGUUAUCCAUGGCAGUGUAUCAAGGAAGAAGAGUCAACCUAAAGAUCUAUGAAAAUGAUGUUCGUUUCAUAUUCAACACUAAUGAAGUUCUUCUAUGGAUAUAAUAACAGAAUGACAUCUUGCACCAAAAACUCAGAUUUUAGUAAGGCAAGAAGAAGGGGACAAAAUACAAGAUCUCUGGCUGAGUUUGCAUAACCUGCCAUGUGUUUGCUCCUGCUUUUAACGUCUUCUGUUUCCUCAGUUAAACAAAUGAAGUCACUGCAGUCAACUUAGGUGUGUUGGUUUGUGUUUUUCUGUAAGGAAAUGCCCAUGGAAAAAUGGCUAGAUGUCUUGCAAAUCAUCCAUGGCAAUGCAAAAAUUACAGCAAGUUUGCUUUAAGAAUCACAGUGCCUUCCCACUCUUCCUGAACUAAACAAAACCUGCCUUGGGAAGCAAUGCACAAGUGGGAUUCUGCAUAUCCACUGCCGGUCACCCAGGCACCCAGGCAGGCUCCGCCAGCUCCUGCAAGGCAGUCUUUUCAGCCAGGAAGAGAGCAGUUCUGUAGAGUCCUCAUCCAUCAACCCCUCGGCAUGAACACAAGUCUGCUUCAUUCUCAGAGCACUAGAAAAGAAACAAAGAUCCUCUUUCUUCCAAGAAAGAAUCCAUUAAAAAAAAAAAAAAAAGGAAAACUACGUAAAUACUUUCUUUACUUAGUAAAAAUCAAAUUCUAAAAACAAA